CCGUGUUUCACUAGUGUUUAAGAUUAGUUUCAUAUAUCGUUGGAUUUUAUUUGGAGUGGACAAUUCUCACUGAUUAAAACUUUUAUUCUCUUUGUAUCGAAGCUUUGGAAAUUGAAGAUGCUUUGGAAAAUGGGUAUAUACAAUAGACCAAUAUUUUUGUCAUUUUCCCUGAAUAAUUUUAUAUGUGACCUAAAUUUCAAAUUUUACUACCUGUUAUUGUUUACUCAAUUAUUUUUACGUGUUUUUAACUAUCAAUAAAGUUUCAAACAUACAAUAAAAUACGAUUUAUCCAGCUUAGAACAAAUUUAAUAUAUAACCUUGUAAUAUAUUGAAUAUUCCCAGAACAUCCUGUAUCUUAUUUCAAUCUGUUUUAUAAGACACGUAUGAAUUCACUUCAAUAUCUAUUUGCCCCGUAAAAUAUUCUCAUUUCAAGAUAGAGGCGGAUGAGAAAUGCAGGUGUAGGUGCAAUGCUGACUGGAAUCAUAAAUAGCGGAGCUGAUAUUAUUAUGAGCUGUGUAUUGAACGUGUUACAAAACAAGAGACUGUAUUAGACUUUAAAUAACUUACAUUAUAUAAGAUGAAGGAUCGGCUUUGAUAA